GUACUUGUUUCAGCAGUACAUAUAAUUAAACUGGAACGUUAGAGGGAAGAUUAGCAUGGCCUCUGCGCAAGGGUGACAUGCAAAUUCGUGAAUAGUUCCAUAUUAUA